CCUCUAUCUUUUAAUAUUUUCUUUUCUAUUUUUUUUAAUUAAAAAAAAGAAAAAAAAUGAAAGAACAAAGGCAUUGAAACGAGCCAUAUGAACAAAAACACUCACACUAUCUGAAAACUCCAUCUCCCAAAACUAUCUGAAAACUCUUCGCCGUUGCGCCGCUGCUGCCACCUCCAUCGCUUACAGUUGAGGUACCAAAGCUUUUGGAGGCUUCCUCUAUUCAUCUGCGUACGAUUAUCUGGCUUCUGGAGGCUAAUACGG